AUGGGAAAGAUGGAGGUUCGGGUUGCGCUUGACGGUGAGGUACGCAUCGAGCGUGAGCAUGUGGUGAGCGGUGUGCGGAGGUCAGCGCCUCCGUUACUCACCACGCUGCUGGACCCAAGCGAUGGACCGCGCGUGAAGGCAGGCGACGACGGCGAGUACUACCAUAGCCGCGAGGUGCCCCUGUCCGGCCAUGACGGCGACGUGCUCCAUCCCGGCGACGAGCAGGUCAAGUUGCGGCGAUCCCCUCUCCCGGCGCCGAGCUCACGCUGUCGAGGCCAUCAGCAGCAGCAGCUUGCUCCUCGCUGUUGGUCCCUGCCCGCAGAAUCAGAAGAUCAAUUUGGUGGUUUCUUUGUCAUGUCAGCAUGGAUCAAUCAAAACCGAGAUGAGUGA
rnacentral:rRNA from 1 species